UAGCCUUGACAUUGAAGAAACACACUAGAGAUAGAGUGGUGCCCUUCGGGGAAUCUGAAAACAGGUGCUGCACGGCUGUCGUCAGCUCGUGUCGUGAGAUGUUGGGUUAAGUCCCGCAACGAGCGCAACCCUCGUCCUUAGUUGCCAGCAGGUUAAGCUGGGCACUCUAAGGAGACUGCCUUCGUAAGGAGGAGGAAGGUGAGGACGACGUCAAGUCAUCAUGGCCCUUAUGGCUAGGGCUACACACGUGCUACAAUGGGGCGUACAGAGUGUUGCGAUACCGUGAGGUGGAGCCAAUCACUUAAAGCGUCUCUCAGUUCGGAUUGAAGUCUGCAACUCGACUUCAUGAAGCUGGAAUCACUAGUAAUCGUAGAUCAGCAAUGCUACGGUGAAUACGUUCCCGGGUCU
rnacentral:rRNA from 1 species